GGAUGUGAGGGCAAUCUGGCUGCGACAUCUGUCUCUGCAUUCAUCACUAGGGUUGACAUGGCUGAUCUGGCUGACUAGGCGGGUAUCCCCUCCCUCCCUCACAGCUCCAUGUGUGUCCCUCCUGAAGCUGCCAGAACUCUGUCAAGGAGGAAGACCUUCCCCCAGUGGAGGACAGAUCUUCGGUUAAGGGCGUGCUAGUAGCUGCGUUCCCCCGCUAACACCUCUGAACAAGCUCCCAAAAUACAGAACAGUUGUAUUGUUCCAAAAAAGUGU
rnacentral:sRNA from 1 species